rnacentral:tRNA from 1 species
UUGCCUGUAGCUCAGAGGAAAGAGCAACCGCCUUCUAAGCGGUUGGUCGCUGGUUCGAAUCCAGCCGGGCGAGCCA